rnacentral:rRNA from 1 species
CAAUAGCGUAUAUUAAAGUUGUUGCAGUUAAAAAGCUCGUAGUUGGAUUUCUGGUCGGAAGCUCCUGUCCUCUGAUGAGCGUACAAGUGCGUCCUACCAUCCUUCUGUUAACCUUUAAGGCUUUCGCGGCUUUCUAGGGGCUCAGAUAUUUUACCUUGAGAAAAUUAGAGUGGUUCAGGCAGGCUAGCGCCGGAAUACAUUAGCAUGGAAUAAUGGAAUAGGACUUUUGCCUCUUCUGUUGGUCAUGAGGCUCGAGUAAUGAUUAAUAGGGAUAGUUGGGGGCAUUAGUACUUAACUGUCAGAGGUGAAAUUCUCGGAUUUGUUAAAGACUAACUUAUGCGAAAGCAUUUGCCAAGGAUGUUUUCAUUAA